GCCUCACUGGCUCAGUUGGUAGAGUAUGUGACCCUUGAUCUCAGGGUUGUAAGUUCAAGCCCCAUGUGGGGUG
rnacentral:tRNA from 1 species